rnacentral:rRNA from 1 species
UACAGGGGGUGCAAGCGUUGCUCGGAAUCACUGGGCGUAAAGCGUGCGCAGGCGGAACGUUAAGUCGGGUGUGAAAUCCCGGGGCUCAACCCCGGAACUGCAUUCGAAACUGGCGAUCUUGAGUGCGGCAGAGGUGAGUGGAAUUCCUGGUGUAGAGGUGAAAUUCGUAGAUAUCAGGAGGAACACCGGUGGCGAAAGCGACUCACUGGGCCGACACUGACGCUCAUGCACGAAAGCGUGGGGAGCAAACAGG